rnacentral:rRNA from 1 species
UCGGAAUUAGAUGAGCCCGCGUAAGAUUAGCUAGUUGGUGGGGUAAUGGCCUACCAAGGCGACGAUCUUUAGCUGGUCUGAGAGGAUGAUCAGCCACACUGGGACUGAGACACGGCCCAG